rnacentral:rRNA from 1 species
UACGGGGAGAGCAAGCGUUGUUCGGAUUUACUGGGCGUAAAGGGCGCGUAGGCGGUCAGCACAAGUCAGUUGUGAAAUCUCCGGGCUUAACUCGGAAAGGUCAACUGAUACUGUGCGACUAGAGUGCGGAAGGGGCAACUGGAAUUCUCGGUGUAGCGGUGAAAUGCGUAGAUAUCAGGAGGAACACCGGUGGCGAAAGCGCCUGUCUGGCCCAAUACUGACGCUGAUGCGCGAAAGCUAGGGGAGCAAACGGG